AACGAACGCUGGCGGCAUGCCUAACACAUGCGAGUCGAACGAGACCUUCGGGUCUAGUGGCGCACGGGUGCGUACCGCGUGGGAACCUGCCCUUAGGUUCGGAAUAACUCCCCGAAAGGGGUGCUAAUACCGGAUAAUGUCUUCGGACCAAAGAUUUAUCGCCUUUGGAUGGGCCCGCGUUGGAUUAGCUAGUUGGUAGGGUAAAAGCCUACCAAGGCGACGAUCCAUAGCUGGUCUGAGAGGAUGAUCAGCCACACUGGGACUGAGACACGGCCCAGACUCCUACGGGAGGCAGCAGUGGGGAAUAUUGGACAAUGGGCGAAAGCCUGAUCCAGCAAUGCCGCGUGAGUGAUGAAGGCCUUAGUGUUGUAAAGCUCUUUUACCCGGGAUGAUAAUGACAGUACCGGGAGAAUAAGCUCCGGCUAACUCCGUG
rnacentral:rRNA from 1 species